rnacentral:rRNA from 1 species
UACGGGGGGGGCAAGCGUUGUUCGGAAUUACUGGGCGUAAAGGGCGCGUAGGCGGCCUGCUAAGUCGGACGUGAAAUCCCCCGGCUCAAACCCGGGGAACGUGCGUCCGAUACUGGUGGGCGUCGAAGUCCGGGAGAGGGAUGGUGGAAGUUCCGAGGUGUAGCGGUGAAAUGACGUGAGAUAUCUGGAGGAACACCGGUGGCGAAGGCGGCAUCCUGGACCGGUAUUGACGCUGAGGUGCGAAAGCGUGGGGAGCAAACAGGG